rnacentral:rRNA from 1 species
GAGCACGCGCGUGUGGCAUAUCAAUAAGCGGAGGAAAAGAAACUAACAAGGAUUCCCUUAGUGACGGCGAGUGAAGCGGGAAGAGCUCAAAUUUGAAAUCUUCAAGGUUCUACCUUGACGAAUUGUAGUUUAUAGAAGUGUUUUCUGUUAGUGGAGUGGCAAAAGUUCUUUGGAAUAGGACAUCAUAGAGGGUGAGAAUCCCGUAUUUGGUCAUUCUUUCUAGCUUUGUGAUACACUUUCAACGAGUCGGAUUGUUUGGGAAUGCAGUCCAAAAUGGGUGGUAAAUUUCAUCUAAAGCUAAAUAUUGGCGAGAGACCGAUAGCGAACAAGUACCGUGAGGGAAAGAUGAAAAGAACUUUGAAAAGAGAGUUAAACAGUACGUGAAAUUGUCAAAAGGGAAGCGUUUGACACCAGUGUUGUUUUUCCGAAAAUCAAUUACGAAUGUUUUAUUUUUGAGAAGUUAUGACUUCAUCGGCUUGCUUCUUUCUUUACUGAAACUUUCUUAAUGCACUUUUCGGUUAACAAGUCAACAUCAAUUUCUUUUGUUGUAAAAGGGUAUGAGGAAGGUGGCUUUCUUUUCGGAGAAAGUGUUUAUAGCCUUGUACCUCUGCAAUCGGAGAGAUUGAGGUCUGCAGCGUAGAUCCUUCGGGAUUAGAUACAUUUGUGCUAAGUUAUAGCUUUUCAUAGACAACUUGUUGACUAUGUUAGUCUUGUAGAUUACUCGCAUAUGCUAUUUUACCUACGCUUAGGAUGUUGAGUAGCGACAUACGCAC